CCUACGGGGGGCAGCAGUGAGGAAUAUUGGUCAAUGGACGAGAGUCUGAACCAGCAAAGCAGCGUGAAGGAUGACUGCCCUAGGAGCUGUAAACUUCGUUUAUAUGGGAAUAAAACGAUCCAAGUGAGGGAAUUUGUAUGUACCAUAUGAAUAAGGAUAGGCUAACUCCUUGCCAGCCGCCGCGGUAAUACGGAGGAUCCGAGCGUUAUCCGGAUUUAUUGGGUGUAAAGGGAGCGUAGGUGGGUUGUUAAGUCAGUUGUGAAAGUUUGCGGCUCAACCGUAAAAGUGCAGUUGAAACUGGCAGUCUUGAGUACAGUAGAGGUGGGCGGAAUUCGUGGUGUAGCGGUGAAAUGCUUAGAUAUCACGAAGAUCUCCGAUUGCGAAGGCAGUUCACUGGACUGCAACUGACGCUGAGGCUCGAAAGUGUGGGUAGCAAACAGGAUUAGAUACCCCUGUAGUC
rnacentral:rRNA from 1 species